GGAGGGUAUAGCUCGGUGGUAGAGCACAUGCUUAGAAUGCAUGAGGUCCUGGGUUCAAUCCCCAGUACCUCCA
rnacentral:tRNA from 1 species